rnacentral:rRNA from 1 species
AUGCCGUCAAGUCGGUUGACCGGUCGCGCCUACGACCUAGACCACGGCCUGGCUAGGCUGGAGCUCAAGCUGGCGCAGCUGACCGCCACGGGGAACCCCGUCGUCGUUCAGGUGCAUGCGGUCUAUGAGGACAAGGCAUGGACGCACAUGCUUCUUCUUGCAUUGAAAGCUCAACCGCUGAAUGGGCAUGAUCCACCGAAAGGCUGCUUCCGGACGGAGUGGGACGAGAGUAGGAUAGGCGACUACCGCGACCUCCCGCCGGCGGCCAGUCCGGCCUCGGCGGCCACCAUGCAGACCCACUGGCCUCUGCCGGAGGACGGCCGAUCUGGGUCGUCCACUCCGGCCGCGCCCUUGACGGCGCUCCCACCUCUCCUCGAUGCUACAGCUCCAUCCCCGGCUCCUGCUUCCGCAGCGGUCGGUGUAUCCCCUGGAGGAGCGCGCGGGUGGCCGGCGGUGCCAUUCUCCUUGGCCACUGCCGACCAAGUCCUGCAUGGGCGGGUUCUCCGGAAAGGCUUCCUAGCGGCCUCGACCCCGGCGAUGCUGCGUCGCCGUGCCACCUACGACCUCGGCCCGGUGCUCCACUCGCCGGGCGAUGCGCUCCUCCAAUUCGCCCUGGAGUCCUUCUCCUCUCCGGUAUGUUCCCCUCUAUCCCCGGCGUCUCCGCUGGCUGCCCCUUCCACCGUCUGGCUCAAAGUGCUACUGCCGGCGCCGGCGCCGCCGGCUGCCGCCAUCGUCGCUUUGCUUAAUGGCUGGAUUGGUACGCCGGCUGAUCAGCCGCUAAUUCAUCAGUUUAGUGCCUGCUUGUACUCGUUCUCGGUUGCUAAUGAUUGCUUAGCUCAGUUCGUGAUCUCCCUAGAGGGUAUUAACUACAAUGGGAUUGUCGUUUCUUUCCUUUCUAAUCCAACCCCAUUAGGCGCCUCGCCACCAUCAUAUUUUGUCGCUACUACCACUGUUCCCAAACACACCCCCGUUCAAAUUUCUGCAGACCAAGCCAAGACUGAUGCUCCUGCCGUCGCUGGCCCGUCUGCUAGGCGUGCGUUGCCGCUCGUCACCGUAUCAUCUACCCCUCCAGACACAAACAAAAUUUCAGCACCUGCUGCUGUCUCGUCGUUUCCCCUGCCCCCCGCAGCUGCUUCGCAGCCUCGCGCCUGUCUCCCAAGAGAUCCGAUUCGCUGUAGACGGUGCUGGCAUCUGGGCCACACCCAACGGAGCUGCUCGGCUAUUUUACCCCCUCCUCCAACCCUCCCUCCAACCCACAACCAGCUCCCUUCUGCCUCUGCCUCCCAACCUGCAUCCACUCUCGUCUCCACCGCUAUCCCACCAGCCCCCCUCCCCGCCCUAGCCAUGGCUGACUUCAUCCCUUUGGUGGACGUGAGCUCCGGCUCCGAAGAUGACCUCCCCCCCGCAGCUGCCCCCAAUGCUGCUUCCCCUCCGCCCCGCGUCUUCGCUUUCCCGGAGCAGAUUGAGGCCGCCGAAGUGGUUGAGGAAGAAGAAGAGGACCCGGAUGAGGUCGAGUUCGAAUCAGGGGAGGAGUCCACUGAUUCGGAUUCGAUCCCACCAAUGUUCCCUCCUUCCCCUCCUCGCCAUCGACGUGACUACUCCAAUGUGUUCAUGCCCUAUGUCCCCAUCGAACACUUCCAAAACCUUGCCUACGCGUUUGUCACUCCACCUCACCCCUCCCCCCAAGCUUGUGUCCGCCGCGCUAUCCAGACGGGCGCUGGUGACCCUCCUGUCAUCAUUAGGGCAUCCUCCUUUGGUGCGGGCCUUGUUGUCUUUGGGUCUGCGUAUGAAAGGGAGAUUUCCAUCCUCAAUGGUCCCUAUAACUGCCCUGUCAACACCGUUGAGCUAGUGCGCCACGAAGACACCGACAACAGAUUCCUUUUCCGUCUUGGCACCGUUUCCGCCCUAAAUAUCGAGGACUUCCCCCUUGAAUAUUGGUUCACUCCCACCAUUAUCAACUCAGUGGUUCCCUUCGCCUGCCCCAUCCAGAUAGACCCAGUGUGCCUCACCGGCGUUGACUACUCUGCUGUUCUCGUCUCCGUCAAAAGCCGGAGUCUUACCGACGUCCCCCACUCCAUCCCCAUCCAUGGCUUCUCCGGGCUCGGCGCCAUCGCCACGGUUCUGGUGGUCCGCUCUCAGGAGCUGCCGCCCGACCCGGCCUUCUCCGGCCCCGACGACGAUGAGGAUGAGGGGGGCUUCGAUGGCGACUUCCCCGCCGGCAUGGCGCCGGACCUUGCUCCCCCGCCACCACCUCCAACCACCGAUGAGCUCCACGACGACAAAGUGGUGCAGCUCCCGGGCGGGCUCACCAUGAUGGCCAACCACAAGCCCAUCGUCUGCGCCGUGCCUCUCACCACCCGCCCCAAAUCCGUUGAUGUCAAGCUCUUCCGCGGUUUCUACGACGUCCGUGUCCGCGGCGCAAAUGGCGAGCGCGGGUUCUACCGCAUUCCCAUGCGCCCGGCUGGCUCCCCCAAGCUCGUCGUCGCCAACUUUGCCACCUGCUCCAUCGGCCUCCUCGACAGGGUGGCCACGGUGGGGCCUUCACACGCGCCAAUGACCGAUGCCGAGGUCCUCUGCAGCGACCCCCGGGGCCACUCCCUCAUCCCCACCAUCCACGGGGAAGACAAUGUCAUGAAGGCCAUUGCUCGGUUCGACGAGGGGCUCCCCCCGCUCCCAGCCGAUCUGCCUCCUCUCAUCGCCGACACGCCACCCUCCCCUGCCAUCCUUGACUCCGUCGUCGACCUGCCUCCUCGCGCCCCAUCCCCAACCAUCGUCUACUCACGCCGGAGUGCGCGCCUCAUGCUGUCCGAAGAACCCUCCAAGCUAACCAUGCUUGAAAAAGCAACGCUGCUCAAGAAACAGAAGCGGGAGGGCAAGAAGCAGGUCUCCGGCAACGAUCUCCUUCUUCCUGCAACUGAGCUCCUCGAGCUGGCUGCGGCGGGAAAGACGCCGUUCAGUUUGCCGCGGCCUGCGGCGUUAGGUUCCACUGGUAAACUUGCCCUGAAGCUCAAACGGACUAGAGACAUGGCAAAAAUAUGGACCGCUCGCACCACCCCUACUAAAACCCUUGCCCAAAACUGCCAUACCACCAUUGACCUUCUCGACAAGCUCGAAGAAUUUCGUCAAUUGUCCACAAUUGAGCUCUGUCUUCGUACCGCUGUCAAACUGGCUCUCCAUCGUCUCAAUGCUCUAAUUGCCGCCUACUGGAGACAACGUGCUAAGAUUCGGGAUUGUGUGCUUGGCGAUGAAAACUCCUCCUACCUGCAUGUGUGUGCCUCCAUUAGGCACCGGAAAAACCAAAUCAAAUCACUGUCAUUCAACGAUGAGCUGUUCUCCUCUCACUAUGACAAAGAGCGUAUCCUCCUAUCCUUUUUCAAGGGCUUGGUCGGCUCACCUUCCCCCUCUCAUUUCACCUUUGAUCUUGAAAGCCUUCUUCUCCCCUCCUCUUUAUCCUCUCAGCAGGCUUUGGAUCUCAUUAAACCUUUCUCCUUGGACGAAAUCAAGCUUGCUCUAUGGGGCAUGAAUGAUAACGCAAGCCCGGGCCCUGACGGCUUUGGGCCUGCUUUCUUCAAAAAAAACUGGGAUUUGGUCAAAAUGGAUCUGCUAAAACUCCUGGACGACUUUCAUAGUUGUUCGGCCGACCUCAAGCGGAUCAACAGGGCCUACAUCGUGCUUCUCCCUAAAAAAAGCGGCGCCUCCUUGCCUGAUCACUUCCGGCCUAUUUCCCUUCAGAACUGCGCUAUAAAAAUCUCCUCCAAAUGCCUAGCCAACAGAACUCAGCCUAUCAUCCCCGACCUAAUCCAUCAUGGCCAGACCGGUUUUAUCAAAGGUCGCAGGAUUGCCGAAAACUUCACCCUAGCGGCGGACAUUGUCCAAACUUGCCACAGAAGGAAAAUCCCAGCGGUCGCCCUUAAACUCGAUUUUCGCAAAGCUUUCGACUCUGUCUCGUGGAUAGCCCUUGCACGGAUCCUGCGCGCUAAGGGUUUCCCAGAACGCUGGUGCCGCUGGAUCGAUGCUCUCCACUGCUCCAGCAAUUCUGCUAUCCUUCUCAAUGGCAAACCUGGGCCUUGGUUCUCUUGUCGCAAAGGGUUACGACAAGGGGACCCGAUUUCUCCCUACCUUUUCAUCAUUGUGGCAGAUGUUCUUCAGCGUCUAAUUCUGCAGGCUUCUGAAAAUGGAGAUCUUACCCACCCUUUAAACAACAAUCUGCCAUGCCCUGUUCUUCAAUAUGCAGAUGAUACGCUAAUUAUCCUCCCGGCGGAAGCUGCCCAACUUCAGGCUCUAAAAGCUCUGCUCGAUCAGUUCUCUGCCGCAACGGGACUGGCCAUUAACUUCCACAAAAGCACUUUUGCUCCUAUUCAUGUCGAUAAUGGCACGGCCUCUUUGCUAGCAGCUAUUUUUGGGUGCCCUGUGGCUAGUUUUCCUCAAUCUUACCUGGGGCUCCCUCUGUCCACCAAAAAGCUCAACCUCUCUGCGUUCUUCUUCAUCAUUGACAAAGUGGACCGCCGUCUUGCGGGAUGGCGUGGACUGCUACUCUCUCUUGCGGGUCGUGCCAUUCUGGUUCGCUCAGUGCUUCGUGCCUUACCAAUCUACGCGAUGAGCUCGCUCCUAAUCCCAGCAGGUACUCUCCUCGAGAUUGAGAAACGGUGUCGUGCUUUUUUCUGGUCUGGUCAGGAUUCGGUUACUGGAGGGCAAUGCAAAGUGGCUUGGGAUAUUGUGUGUGCGCCUUUUGAAAACGGGGGGUUAGGUUUCGUCUCACUUCCACACAUGAACAUGUGCCUCCUGCUAAAACACCUCUCCAAACUUCAUUCUCCCGACAAUAACACUACCUCCACAUAUUUGAUUGACAAAUAUGGCUGGACUAACUCCCAUGACUUAGGGAGCCAAGACAAUUUCUCCACCCCAAUUUGGAGAGACAUCUUUAAAGGCCUACCCUUCUUUAGGUCGAUCUCUCAGGUCAUUAUUGGAAAUGGGGUCUCGACUUCCUUCUGGAAUGAUCUCUGGCUUCCGGGUUCCCCUACACCCUUAGCAACCCAAUACUCCGCUCUAUACUCCCACUGCUUGAGCCAAACCGUCUCGGUUGCUCAUGCGCUCGCAACUCCGGACCUAAACCUCUCCUUCACCCCCAGACUAUCCCACGCUGCUGAUCACGAGCUGGUUGCGUUGCGCAUUAUUUUGGCUUCCGUUAACUUGAACGAGCAGGUUGCAGACUUGAGAACUAGCAGGCUCGACGGCAAGCCUAUCACCACCAAGACAGCAUACAGAGCCACCUGGGAUACAGCGCCAGUUGAUCAUUUGGCGUCGGCGAUAUGGAAGAACUACGCUCCUAACAAGUGUCGCCUUUUCAUCUGGCUGGCACACAAGGACCGUGUCUAUACGAACGAAAGGCGCUUCCGAAGAUCUAUAGCUACUUCCGAUGCAUGCCCACUUUGCGGGCAAUGCGAGAGUAUUGAUCACCUGCUCUUCACCUGUCGGCGGCUUCGACCUCUUUGGGAUCAACUGUCAAGCCUUCAAGACGUUCGACCUAUCAACCUUCUCCACAUUUGGCAGUCUUCCAUUCAAGAUAAAGUUCGCUCCACCGUGAUCAUGGCUUUACUCUGGAACAUUUGGAAGAGACGCAACGCCAAGGUUUUUCGGAACGACAACCAAGGGAUCCACUGCAUCGCCCGGGCGGCGGCCGACGACCUGGUCUUAUGGUCCAAUAGAUGUGCCAAUAUUCUGAGAAAAAACUUGAUUCGGGACUGGGCCUCCAUGUUGUUUCAUCUUGCUGCGAGAUUGUAA